AUGCUGUCUGUCACACUACUGCUGCUGAUGCUAAACUGGAUAUCCUGUGUUCACUGUGUUGACCUGACACAGCCCAGUGCUUUGAGCAUCCGGCCUGGCCAGUCAAUGACCAUCAGCUGUAAGGUCUCUUACUCAGUCUCUAGCUAUGGCACAGCUUGGGUUCGGCAGCCUGCAGGGAAUGAUCUGGAAUGGGUUGCAUAUGUAAGCACUGGUGGAAGCUUAUACUAUAAAGAUUCACUGAAACACAAAUUUACUGCUUCACGAGAUACUUCCAGUAGCAUAAUAACACUGCAAGGCCAAAAUCUGGAGACUGAAGACACAGCUGUGCAUUACUGUGCUCGAAUCCACAGAAGAUCAUCUGAGUGGUGGGAGUGUACAAAAGCUUUGGAGAUCUGA